rnacentral:sRNA from 1 species
UCUGCAAGGGAUGAUGAGGAUGAACUUGAGGAAGAAAGAAGGCUUUGCUAUGUUGCAAUAACAAGAGCAAAAGAACAGCUCUAUUUAACCUGCGCAAA